UUAUCAUUUAGAGGAAGGAGAAGUCGUAACAAGGUUUCCGUAGGUGAACCUGCGGAAGGAUCAUUGUCGUUGCCUCACAACAAGUUCGACCGGCGAACCCGUUCAUCACAGGACAAGUUCGAUCGGGGCUGGCUCGGGGGAGCUGUUCUCGAACACCGACCCCGUCCUCCCCGACCCGAGCUGGCGAGAGGCGGUCGCCCCGCGCACCUCCUCUCGCCAAAACACAAACCCCGGCGCUUCGUGCGCCAAGGAACUCGAAACUGUUAAGUGCAAUGUUCGCGGGCCCGGAGACGGCGACCCCGCGGACCUUGCCACGACACACAACAUACAAAAUGACUCUCGGCAACGGAUAUCUCGGCUCUUGCAUCGAUGAAGAACGUAGCGAAAUGCGAUACUUGGUGUGAAUUGCAGAAUCCCGUGAACCAUCGAGUCUUUGAACGCAAGUUGCGCCCGAAGCCAUUAGGCCGAGGGCACGCCUGCCUGGGUGUCACACAUCGUUACCCCAAAUGCAAACGCCUCACGUGCGUGCGCAGGGUGGAUGCUGACCUCCCGCGAGCAUCGUCUCGUGGCUGGUUGAAAAUCGAGUCCGCGGCCGAGCUCGUCGCGACAAAAUGGUGGAUGAGCGAUGCUCGAGACCAGUCGCGCCGGACCCGGCCAAGGUCGGACUCCCCGACCCUACACGCGUCCACGGACGCUCCCAACGAGACCUCAGGUCAGGCGGGGCUACCCGCUGAGUUUAAGCAUAUC
rnacentral:rRNA from 1 species